GUGAAAAGGGUCACGCACAGGAUACAUACUUGAACAUAGAACUCUGGUGAUUGGUGACCUCAUCAUCCAUAUCCAAUGAAUUGGACCCGUGAAAUUGGAAUGUAUAUGUGAACAAGCAACCUGGCAUCUCAAGGAUCAAUGUUGUGUAUGUGAUUGGCGAAACGAGCCUGGCCAUCCAAGGCCUUUUUGUCUUCAAGUAUCACAGGCAAAUCUCUCUCUUAGAAUAUU
rnacentral:misc_RNA from 1 species